GAUGAACGCUGGCGGCGUGCCUAAUACAUGCAAGUCGAGCGAACAGACGAGGAGCUUGCUCCUCUGACGUUAGCGGCGGACGGGUGAGUAACACGUGGAUAACCUACCUAUAAGACUGGGAUAACUUCGGGAAACCGGAGCUAAUAUCGGAUAAUAUAUUGAACCGCAUGGUUCAAUAGUGAAAGACGGUUUUGCUGUCACUUAUAGAUGGAUCCGCGCCGGAUUAGCUAGUUGGUAAGGUAACGGCCUACCAAGGCAACGAUGCGUAGCCGACCUGAGAGGGUGAUCCGCCAAAAUGGAAACGAGACCACGUCCAGACCCCCUAGGGAGGCAGGCGUUGGGAAUAUUUCCCAAUGGGCGAAAGGCUGAACGAGGCACCGCGCGUGGGUGAAGAAGGGUUUUGGGUUGUAAAACCCUUGUUAUGGGGAAGAACAAAUGUGUAAGUAACUAUGCACGUCUUGACGGUACCUAAUCAGAAAGCCACGGCUAACUACGUG
rnacentral:rRNA from 1 species